rnacentral:rRNA from 1 species
CCUACGGGGGGCAGCAGUGGGGAAUAUUGCACAAUGGGCGCAAGCCUGAUGCAGCCAUGCCGCGUGUGUGAAGAAGGCCUUCGGGUUGUAAAGCACUUUCAGCGGGGAGGAAGGCGUUAAGGUUAAUAACCUUGUCGAUUGACGUUACCCGCAGAAGAAGCACCGGCUAACUCCGUGCCAGCAGCCGCGGUAAUACGGAGGGUGCAAGCGUUAAUCGGAAUUACUGGGCGUAAAGCGCACGCAGGCGGUCUGUCAAGUCGGAUGUGAAAUCCCCGGGCUCAACCUGGGAACUGCAUUCGAAACUGGCAGGCUAGAGUCUUGUAGAGGGGGGUAGAAUUCCAGGUGUAGCGGUGAAAUGCGUAGAGAUCUGGAGGAAUACCGGUGGCGAAGGCGGCCCCCCGGACAAAGACUGACGCUCAGGUGCGAAAGCGUGGGGAGCAAACAGGAUUAGAUACCCUAGUAGUC